rnacentral:rRNA from 1 species
UGGUAUUUCAGGGAGAGUUUUUUUAAAUUUAAUAAUUAAAGUUAUUUUAAUUUGUGAAGAAACAAUUAUAUAAAUUAAGGACAAGAAGACCCUAAGAAUUUAAGAAUUCUUAUGUUACUUAAAUAUAAAAUAGGAAUUCUUAGUUGGGGCAACUAAAAAACAUUAUAAACUUUUUUUUCUUUAAAAUGACCCAUUAUUAAUGAUAAUAUGAUUAAAUAC